AUGGUCUUCUCCUUCGUAGCCAAAGCCACCGCCCCCAAGGUCUACCCCUUGGUGCCCUGCGACUGCGAGGACCCCACGGUCAGCGUGGCCUGUUUGGCCGCCGACUUCUUCCCCGAACCGGCCACCAUCUCCUGGACCAGCCCCGUCUCCGGGCAGCAGGCCACCUUCCCAGUUCUCCCAGUUGCUGGAGGCUACUACAACCUCAUCUCCCAGUUCACCGUCCCGGCCGACCAGGUGGACAACGAAUUCCAGUGCAAGGUGGCCCACAGCUCCACGGGGACCACCACCAAGACCAUCGAAGGCAACGAUGUUUGUCCACCUCCCCCGGACGUCAAGCUCUUGGGUGACCCCAACAAGUACCAGUUGGCGCAGCAGGUUCUUCUGAUGUGCGUCGUGGAGGGCCCCAAGGCCGGAGAAGCCACCAUCACGUGGAUGGUCAACCACGUGGAGAAGCCCCUCAUGCCGGCGGUCACCACCUGUGACAAGUGCUCUGGUGAGAAGGCCAUCAUGACCAGUCAGGUCAACGUCAGCCGGCAGAGCUGGGACAACGGGGCCGAGUUCUCCUGCAAGGUCACCCACCCUGGCCUGGACAAAGCCGUGGUCCACAACAUCAGCACCUUCUGCAGAGAUAACAUACGGGCGAUGACCGUCACCCUCCUCCCCCCAUCCAUGGAGGACCUCUACCUCAGCCAGAACGGCAGCGUCACCUGCGUGGCCACCAACCUGAAGGACCCCGAGGACGUCAAGUUCUCCUGGCAGAGGGACCAAGGGGAGGUCUCCGAUGUCACCACGGGGGCCCCCCAGCAACUGGAGAACGGGCUCUACCGUCUCACCAGCACCUUGAAGAUCUGCGCCGAGGAGUGGAACUCGGGGGAGAAGUUCACCUGCACCGUCCAAGUCCCCCAACUGGAAGAACCCAUCGUCAAGAGCAUCAAGAAGGAACUAGGUAGGAGCCUCCCGCCCCACAUCCGGCCCCACCGAGGCGGGGAGGGGGGGACUGGGGGGGCUUGGUGGAGUCGUGGUGGUGUCAUGGUGGUGUCAUGGUGGCCAGCAAGAAGCUGG